CUUCAAAAUGUAUUUAUUGAAUAGUUGAACAUCUUAGUGCUGGAAUUGUUUUUUUCCCCUCCCUCUGUGCAUGCCUAUAUUUCUUAUUUAAAAAGUAGAACAAACUUUAGAUCAAGAGAUACAAAUGUUGGCUUUAGCCUUGGAUAGGUCACUUUAUAUCUGUGUGAACUUGGAUGGUCAAAUAUGUCUGUGUAAGAAUGGCUAUAUUAAAGAAGAAACCCUGUAAUUUCAUUCAAAUAAUGAGAUACUUCAAACAUCCCAGUUGGCCAACACACUUCUUGACUUAUUAAGGAGGGUGAGGAAGAAAUCAUCUUUACCUGGGGAUAUGAUAUAGAAGAAAUCUUUAAAUUCAUCCAUCCAAACUUCUGC